AAUCCCUCCCAGCACUGUCCCUCAGGAAUAUACCAUUUAUUAAUUGGUUCACCACUUCCUCAAUGGAAAAUGGAUAUACGCCAGCCUUUGCAAACCAGAGCAGAUUUACCAACACUUCAGGCAAACUCAUUGGUAAAGAUAACGGUAAAAGAAGU